rnacentral:rRNA from 1 species
GACGAACGCUGGCGGCGUGCUUAACACAUGCGAGUCGAACGGAAAGGCCCUGCUUUUGUGGGGUGCUCGAGUGGCGAACGGGUGAGUAACACGUGAGUAACCUGCCCUUGACUUUGGGAUAACUUCAGGAAACUGGGGCUAAUACCGGAUAGGAGCUCCUGCUGCAUGGUGGGGGUUGGAAAGUUUCGGCGGUUGGGGAUGGACUCGCGGCUUAUCAGCUUGUUGGUGGGGUAGUGGCUUACCACGGCUUUGACGGGUAGCCGGCCUGAGAGGGUGACCGGCCACAUUGGGACUGAGAUACGGCCCAGACUCCUACGGGAGGCAGCGGUGGGGAAUAUUGCACAAUGGGCGGAAGCCUGAUGCAGCAACGCCGCGUGCGGGAUGACGGCCUUCGGGUUGGAAACCGCUUUCGCCUGUGACGAAGCGUGAGUGACGGUAAUGGGUAAAGAAGCACCGGCUAACUACGUG